AUUAAAUCUGAAACACGACACAUGUAAACAUUAGAUGACUAGUAAAAUGUAAAAAUAAUAUUUAAUUUCUCAUAAAAUAUAUUCUUAUUGGUAGUUUCUUUAAUCAAUAUGAAACCGGGCCGUUGUAAUGGGCUGCGUGAGGAGGGGACUUGACCGGUUAAAUGAAAAGUACGUGCAAACCCUAAAAUUUCCUUCAAAUACCUGCAGUCGCCUCUUCGACAUUUUCAUCAUCAACAUGCUCAUUAUCAUAGUUGUAGGUAUGAUUUAUGGUGGACGAUUUCAAGUUAGAAUUCAAAAAAUAAGAAAAUUCGGUUAUCAAUAGAGAUCGAUAAAUGUAUUAAUGUUUUAGUGAAAAACUUGUAUGUGGCUAGACGUGACAAACAUGUUGUGUCGGCUUUGUAUCGAUUAAAGACAUUAAAUGGGUUUAAAGAGUUUGACCUUAACCCGAUCUGUUUAAUUAUUGUGUUCUGUAAAUAAAACUCUAGAGUUGUGAGAUGGAAUCAUGGAAUGACAAAAUUUAUAGCAAGUUUAGAAGAAAAAAUGAAAAGAAUUAAAGUUGGGGAGCAAAGGGAUAAGUGGUGAGGAUGAUUAUAAUUAAGUAACUUUAAAAAUUUGAAUAUUAUUUUUAAUUUUUGAGUUUGACCAUUAUAACAUAUAAUAAUACUUAUAAAAAUAUGAAACUUAUAAUAAAUAAUAUAUGAUUAAACAGAUCAUAUUCGAGUUGAAAAUCUUGAUUCUAAUCUUAUUUGUUUAAGUAUCAUGUCGUGUCAACCCGUUUACAUAAACGUUUUGAAAUCUAUGACCCUAACCUGUUAAUUUCAUGUUGGGUUCGUAUUAGGUUUUCAUGUCAUCAUGUUUUGCCGGUCUAUAUGUGGCUGGCCUUUUUUUUAUCAGGAUAAUAUGACUUUGCAAAGGUUUGGGGCAAUGAUCCAAUGUAGCAUGGUCAGGUGCCAUUAAUCUCCUCAUUAGAUGUCCAAAUGCCUUUUUAAUGGGUAAACUUUUACUUUAGCUCCGAAACUACUAAAAAAAAGAUACGGGAAAAACAAAAGCCAAUGAAAUAAGAGGUCUAUUAACUCAGUACUUGUAUUGUUUUUUAUUUAUAAUCAUUUUUAAAAUAAAGAACAGUUAUUUGAAAUGGAUUCCGAAGCAUAUUUGCUAAAGAGCAUCAUUCAAAACUACAAAGCAAAUUUUACUUGUCCGGUCAUACCUUUUUCGUCUCAAAAUUAUUGUCUACAAAUUAAAAACACACAGAUUAAGAAAACAUUAAUUAUAUAUACAUAUUAAAUUUGGACAAUCCUUAGAAACAAUACUGUUUCCUCGGGUUCGCUUCCUCAACCAUGGUAACUGCCCCACAACCGUUCAUCUCGCCGCCCCGCUCGCCCAAUCACAUACACUUGUUUCCACCGUCUUCUAUUUCUUUUUCUGCCUCCGUCUUUUUACGAUCACUCUCCAGUUCCUUCCAUUCCCUACCCUCUGCUCCCCCACCCACUCUCUCAAUUUACGUCUCCUCCAUCGAUUCCAGCUUUUCUAGGUCGUGAUUAGAAAGGAGCAGCGGUGGCACCACUAAGAGGGUGUUUGACAUUGCUUUUAGAAUAGCCUUUUAACUUUUAACUUUUUUAAAAAAUAAAAAAAAAAAAAGACAAAAGAUGUAUGAAUAGGAAAAAAGUUCCUUUUAGAAUGACUUUUUGCAAACAAGAAAAAGGGAGGCUUCAAAAAGUCACAUUUUGUGACUUUUGGGGAUUUUCCAUAUAAAAGUUAGACAAAAAAUUAUUUUAUUAACCCAAACAUAUUUUAAAUAUCAUCUUUUGCAAAAAAAAGUUUUUUAUAAAAAGUCCUAUCAAAAGAAAUUUUGAUAUUUCAAAACCCCCUGAAUACCCAAGAGAUGGAGAUCGAGCAGGUUUUACAUACCUCAACUUCUUCCGUUUUCUCCAUCGGCUUCAGGAGUAAUAUCCUUAUGGCCAUUAUCGAUCGAUUCCUCUAUUCUACUUCUAUUCUUCUGCCGAGUACUCUUCGACUUUACCACACCGGUUCUUUUCGUUUCCCUUUUCUGGCUUCCAAUCAAACGAUUACACUUUCAUUCUACCGGGUUUAAUCCACCGCUCAUCAUCUCUACCGCCUUAAUCGACUUUCACAUCGCUAAACCCCUCUCAAAUAGAUGGUCAAAACUCGCUCCUUCCACUCGCCUACCUACCAAAUAUGUUCUGCUUUUGACGACCCAAAGGCGCCACCAAUGCAUUGAUAGAAGUUCACCAUCGUCUGAGGUAUGCAAAACCUGCUCGAUCUCCAUCCCUUCGUCCACUUUGAAAAUCGAAUGGUCGACUUCUGGUUCAGGUUUGUGUUUCGUACUUUUUCUAGGGUUUAUGUAUGGUUUCUACUUCUGCUUCGUUUUUGCUGAAAUGCAGGUAAGGAUUUUCCUUAUGUUUCUUACUUUCUCGCUUUAUGCCAUUGUGAUACUUAUGGAUUCGAGUAGUUCGCCAGGACCGACGAAGGAGUUGUGAUGGCCAAGAGGUUGCUUUUGGUGAUUAAGAACAUCUCCAAUUAUGUAAUUUUUUCGAUUUCAGGGCUCAAUUUCAUAUGGAAUUCGAUUUUUAUUCAUGGCUCAAUUUUUUUGAUUUCAGGGCUCAAUUUUUUAUUUUCAUUUUAAUGAUACAUGCUUAAUUAUAUAUUAAACAAUGAUUUUUUUUUUCCAAAUUAGGGUCCAAAUUUGGAUGAAAUUGGAUUUAGAUUUGAGUUAUCUAACAUCUAAUUGUAUAAGUUAUGUUUUUUUCCUUCAUUUGUUGGUGUUGAUAUAGGGUAUGACUACAUGUUUUUAUCAUGGUUACUCAGUUGGUUCCCACUCCAAAAAGAGGGGAUUGGAUGAUUACUUCACAACUUUCUGCGCAGCUGGAUCGAUCAUGAAUGAUUUACUUGCAUUGGUAUGUCUUAUCAAGUAAAUACUUAUGUAUCAGAAAGUUAUGGCAUAGUUACUUCCAAUGAAAUAACAAACCAAAGCCUUUUUUGUUUGAAGCUGUGGGUAUAAUAAACAUCGAAUCCUAUAUUUCAGCUUUCUAACUCACGUUACAAAUGCAUUUUUUUAGUUGUUAAUCCACCUUCAUUUUAUGAAGAAAGUCAUAAUUUGAUAUGAUAUUCAAAAGAUCGAUAGAGGAUAGUCUUUGCAAGUGACAACCUCUAAGCUAUGUUUUGUAUUCCAAAAGGGUAUGUAUGCAGCACACCAUACGAUUGUGGAAAUUCCAUAUUUGUUUCUUUUUGUUUUUGUUUUUCAUCUUCCUUUUCUUUUUUAAUUUUUGUUCAGUUCGUGUUAAACAUAGUUGGCUAUGUUAAGCCAUGUUCAUGUUGGUAGGAAAUACAAAGACACGGAAAGGCAACCCUUGGAUGUUUCUAGGUAAAAGAAUGUCUAACUCAAUGAUUAAUGAUAUAAUAGGAGACACGGAAGCUUUCCACACCACCGAUCAUUUAGUAAAACGCCUAAAUUACAAACAGAUUCCACCGAACUUUGUUAAAAAAAAACCAAUAGGUGAUCAUGGCAUUUGAGUGGUUAAAAGGUAGGUGAUAGUUCUCUGUAAAGAUUUGGGCCACAAAAUCUAGAUAAACACUACCCUAAAGCUACAUAAUUCAAAAUUUUUUAUUAGGAAGAGAGUUGGAGUGCUCAAAUUUGAAGAACUACUUGGUCUACAGUCGAUUUGGGUCCCAGGUAGCUUUUGUUUCCUUUUUUAAGUUCAAUAUUAAUGCUAACCCAAACUACUUAUGGUUAUUUGAAACUCUUGUAGCAGGAAAUCUUCUCUAAAACCUUUUGUUCUGAUCUAGACAAAUUAAGAGUACGUUGUUAUUUCGUACAUUUAUCUCUAAGCGAGGUAACAUCGUUUUUUUACCAAGGGGUUAUAUGCUAUAAAUGUAGGUUGUCUUGAUUAUUAGUAUUCGAUAUAUCCAUAGAAAUCACUAUUCCUUUCAUAUGCAUACUAAAAAAAAAUAUCAGAGGACCUACAAAUUUGCUAUGCCUGCUUCUAAGUCAAAUCAGCAAUGAGGAUUACAAUAAACUAUAGUUUGUAAGUCAAACAAGCAAUGAGGAUUAUAAUAAACUAUAGUUAUCCCUGUAUUUUUUUUAAGUAUUUGGGACUAAAAUUGUAAUUUUUUACAGAUUCAGAGACCAAAAUUAUGAUUUACCCUUUCAUAAAUUGAGAUGAUGUAUGUUUCUUUUCCAGUUUAGUACGUUCAUUGAUGUUUUAGGGUUUGUUUGAUUGCAUUUUGCAUUUUUAGGAGUAAUAUGCCCUAAAUAGCAUUGAACUUUGCGUUUAUAUAUAUAUAUAUAUAUAUAUAUAUAUAUAUAUAUAUAUAUUCUGUUUUUGUUUUCACUUUCUUUAAUUUCUUUACCAAAAAACCAAAAUACAUUGCCAUUUGGUUCAUUUUCCAUUUUUUGUUUAUAAAUACAAUAAAUAGCAUUGCACUUUCAAUUUACAUUUUUUUGCUUUUUUUAAAAUUUGUUUUGGGUUACUUUAUAUAUUCUUUAAUAUAAAACAGUUAAUAUGAUUUCAAUGGUGGAGGUGAUAUGGUUUUGAUUCUGGGGCAAAAUUGAACCAACUAACUGAACCAGAAAACAAUGCAGGGGCAAAAUUGUCCAGCUUAUAGGUAUGCUGCUCAAAAUCUCUAUGAAUUGUGACCCAAGAAAGAAAGACUUAAUGGAUGGUUUUAAGAUUAAAGGAUUUUUUCUGUUAUUAACUUUUACACUUAUUAGUUAACUAUUACAAUUCGAUCAAUCUUUACAGCAACUUAAAUUAUUUUAUGGCUUAAUUUGACUCUUCUAAUUUGCAAAGUUUUUGCAGCUCGGGUUAAUUCUUGGAUUUGGAGCUAUAAUUGCAAGGUUGCAAUAUUUUUCAGUUUUUGCUAAAUUUUAAACUAAUACUAUCAUUUUGUAGACCUUUAAUUACACCUACUCAUUUUUAAUAAUUGUUUGUUUUAAUAUUGUAUUUGACAUGGAAGCAUUUGUAUAAUUGCAGUUAAUAGCAACAUACUUUGAAUUUUCA